AUUGAACGCUGGCGGCAGGCCUACCACAUGCAAGUCUAACGAGUGGCGGACGGGUGAGUAAUGUCUGGGAAACUGCCUGAUGGAGGGGGAUAACUACUGGAAACGGUAGCUAAUACCGCAUACCAUCAGAUGUGCCCAGAUGGGAUUAGCUUGUUGGUGGGGUAACGGCCCACGAAUGCGACGCUCCCUAGCUGGUCUGAGAGGAUGACCAGCAACACUGGAACUGAGACACGGUCCAGACGCGAACGGGAGGCAGCAGUGGGGAAUAUUGCACAAUGGGCGCAAGCCUGAUGCAGCCAUGCCGCGUGUAUGAAGAAGGCAUUCGGGUUGUAAAGUACUUUCAGCGGGGAGGCGUUACCCGCAGAAGAAGCACCGGCAAACUCCGUGCCAGCAGCCGCGGUAAUUC
rnacentral:rRNA from 1 species